UAAUACGGAGGGGGCUAGCGUUGUUCGGAAUUACUGGGCGUAAAGCGCACGUAGGCGGAUUGGAAAGUCAGGGGUGAAAUCCCGGGGCUCAACCCCGGAACUGCCUUUGAAACUCCCAGUCUUGAGGUCGAGAGAGGUGAGUGGAAUUCCGAGUGUAGAGGUGAAAUUCGUAGAUAUUCGGAGGAACACCAGUGGCGAAGGCGGCUCACUGGCUCGAUACUGACGCUGAGGUGCGAAAGCGUGGGGAGCAAACAGGA
rnacentral:rRNA from 1 species